AGUGGCGGCAGCUUGGCACAGCGGCGGCCCGAUGAAUAUGCGACGAUGAAUAGGGUGGCGGCGGCUUUGGCACAGCGGCAGCCCGAUGAAUACGCAGGUGACGAGUAUAGUGGCGGCAGCUUGGCACAGCGGCGGCCCGAUGAAUAUGUCAGCGGCGAGUAUAGUGGCGGCAGCUUUGGCACAGCGGCGGCCCGAUGAAUACGUCAGCGGCGAGUAGUAGUGGCGGCUGCUUGGCACAGCGGCGGCCCGAUGAAUACGCGACGACGAAUAGGGUGGCGGCGGC